AGAGUUUGCUUCUGGCUCAGGAUGAACGCUGGCGGCGUGCCUAACACAUGCAAGUCGAGCGAAGCGCUAUACUUGAAUUCUUCGGAAGGAAAGUAUUGUGACUGAGCGGCGGACGGGUGAGUAACGCGUGGGUAACCUGCCUCAUACAGGGGGAUAACAGUUAGAAAUGACUGCUAAUACCGCAUAAGACCACAGCACCGCAUGGUGCGGGGGUAAAAACUCCGGUGGUAUGAGAUGGACCCGCGUCUGAUUAGCUAGUUGGUAAGGUAAGGGCUUACCAAGGCGACGAUCAGUAGCCGACCUGAGAGGGUGACCGGCCACAUUGGGACUGAGACACGGCCCAAACUCCUACGGGAGGCAGCAGUGGGGAAUAUUGCACAAUGGGGGAAACCCUGAUGCUGCGACGCCGCGUGAGUGAUGAAGUAUUUCGGUAUGUAAAGCUCUAUCAGCAGGGAAGAAAAUGACGGUACCUGACUAAGAAGCACCGGCUAAAUACGUGCCAGCAGCCGCGGUAAUACGUAUGGUGCAAGCGUUAUCCGGAUUUACUGGGUGUAAAGGGAGCGUAGACGGAGAGGCAAGUCUGAUGUGAAAACCCGGGGCUCAACCCCGGGACUGCAUUGGAAACUGUUUUUCUAGAGUGUCGGAGAGGCAAGUGGAAUUCCUAGUGUAGCGGUGAAAUGCGUAGAUAUUAGGAGGAACACCAGUGGCGAAGGCGGCUUGCUGGACGAUGACUGACGUUGAGGCUCGAAAGCGUGGGGAGCAAACAGGAUUAGAUACCCUGGUAGUCCACGCCGUAAACG
rnacentral:rRNA from 1 species